ensembl:lncRNA
CCUGACCCCAUCUCCUAGUUCAACAACUACGACUAACCCUGACCCCAUCUCCUAGGUCAGUAACUACUACUAACCCUGACCCUGAUCCCAUCUCCUAGGUCAAUAACUACUACUGACCCUGACCCCAUCUCCUAGGUCAAUAACUACUACUAACCCUGACCCUGAUCCCAUCUCCUAGGUCAAUAACUACUACUAACCCUGACCCUGAUCCCAUCUCCUAGGUCAAUAACUACUACUGACCCUCACCCUAACCCCAUCUCCUAGGUCAAUAACUACUACUGACCCUGACCCCAUCUCCUAGGUCAUUAACUACUACUGACCCUGACCCCAUCUCCUAGGUCAAUAACUACUACUGACCAUGACCCCAUCUCCUAGGUCAUUAACUACUACUGACCCUGACCCCAUCUCCUAGGUCAAUAACUACUACUGACCCUGACCCCAUCUCCUAG